UACGUAGGGGGCAAGCGUUAAUCGGAAUUACUGGGCGUAAAGCGUGCGCAGGCGGUUUUGUAAGUCUGAUGUGAAAUCCCCGGGCUCAACCUGGGAAUUGCGUUGGAGACUGCAAGGCUGGAGUCUGGCAGAGGGGGGUAGAAUUCCACGUGUAGCAGUGAAAUGCGUAGAGAUGUGGAGGAACACCGAUGGCGAAGGCAGCCCCCUGGGUCAAGACUGACGCUCAUGCACGAAAGCGUGGGGAGCAAACAGG
rnacentral:rRNA from 1 species